AGUCGUAACAAGGUUUCCGUAGGUGAACCUGCGGAAGGAUCAUUAAAGAUUGACCGAAAGGUCUUAUCUCUAUAUCCCUCACCUCUGUGAACUGUGGACCUCCGGGUCUGUCUUAACAAACAUCAGUGUAAUGAACGUAUAAAUCAUUAAACAAAACAAAACUUUCAACAACGGAUCUCUUGGCUCUCGCAUCGAUGAAGAACGCAGCGAAAUGCGAUAAGUAAUGUGAAUUGCAGAAUUCAGUGAAUCAUCGAAUCUUUGAACGCACCUUGCGCCUUUUGGUAUUCCGAAAGGCAUGCCUGUUUGAGUGUCAUGAAAUCUCAAUCCCCCCGGGUUUAUGAUCUGGUCGGGACUUGGACAUGGGCGUCUGCCGGUCACACGGCUCGCCUCAAAUGACUUAGUGGAUCUCUCUGCAUCCGUGACAGACGUAAUAAGUUUCGUCUUGUCCCUUGCGUACGAGUCCGCUCAUAACCUGCCAUCGCGCACUUUAGACUCUGACCUCAAAUCAGGUAGGACUACCCGCUGAACUUAAGCAUAUCAAUAAGCGGAGGAAAAGAAACUAACAAGGAUUCCCCUAGUAACGGCGAGUGAACCGGGAAGAGCUCAAAUUUGAAAUCUGGCGUCCUCAGGGCGUCCGAGUUGUAAUCUAUAGAGGCGUUUUCCGUGCCGGACCGUGUCCAAGUUCCUUG
rnacentral:misc_RNA from 1 species